ACCGAACAGCGCAGCGCACUGGCGAAAAAGAGAAUUGCACAUUAUAUUUCAGUGGGCGCCAUCAGAGCUCGACAUGAACGAACUUUUGAUCAACAGGGGGCGACAUUAUCCAGGGAAUAUGACGGCAAACUAUCCAGCAGCAUCACCAUCUUCACUGGACCAUCUCCUCAUCUGACAGUCACCAGGCUACUCCUUCAUGAUUUUAACGGUGGACCAAAAGCGCUGGCACAGAGGACUGACGAGUUCAUGCUCAGAUGAAAGAAGCAUACAUGUAGAUGUAACUUGUCCUACAAAGACAGAAGCAUCUACUAAAUUGCAGUUUUAUUACAAAGGAUAGAACACUCACUCACAAAGGUAAGAGAUCAUUUUUAUUUGCAUUUUAUUUCUUCACUACACAUUUUUUUGGCAUUCUCUCUGUAGUUUUCUCUUAUUUAUUAUUUGGUGUUUUUACUACUACAUUGCCACAAUCAAUAGUAUCAUCAUACGAUUUAAAUCAUAUUUCCAUCUACGUACAUAUAGUUGCAAUAGGCAUAAUUUCAAAAGUUACCAUCCAGGGGAUUAUUUGUUGUUUAGAGCGAUCAUAUCUGCAGCUUCAGCUGAAGGCUUCGGUGAACACUCAGUGGGGAUGUCUUCGCUUGGUUUCCUCUCCCUCCUUCACUGUCAAACCCCUCCUUGCCUCUCCUCUCUCCUGUGUGUCUGCAUGUAUUCACAGUUAGUCUCAGCUUCUGCUCUGCUUGCUUGCCUGCCACAGACUGUCUGCUCUGAUUGGUUGGCAGACUGCAGUUACACAUUAAAUGUUGGCUGUUCACUAUAAGUGUCAUACUGUGCACGUGUCUUGUUUGUUAGACUUACAAUUUUACCUCAGUGCCCAACCUGAGGAGCACAUUAAACGGGGCUGACCUGGAUCGGUGUUCGUCCCGCUUUCUGAGUUUAUUUAUGUUUGUGUCGGUGUGUUUUUCUUGGAGGUGCAGAGAGGUGAGUCAUACCGGCUCACACACUGGUGGCUGCCACCGGCGUUCAGUGUAACCACAUCGUGUUGUGUGAUUUGCAAAUCGGCAGUGUCUGAUGAAGCAGUGUAUCUGUGAAAUGUCGACCUUUCAGGAAAUGAAAACAAGCAAAUUUGCCUUUUUUUGAAGAGCUUACCAUCUAUUGAUUUUUUUUUUUCUGUGCAAUGUGUCCUAUUCGGAGGAGGUCAGAUCUGAAAGUAUUUUUUACAAAG